rnacentral:rRNA from 1 species
GACGAACGCUGGCGGCGUGCUUAACACAUGCAAGUCGAACGGAGCUAUUUAUUUCGGUAGAUAGCUUAGUGGCAAACGGGUGAGUAACGCGUAGGCAACCUGCCCUCAGGAUGGGGACAACGGCUCGAAAGAGCCGCUAAUACCGAAUGACGUAACUCUUCCACAUGGAAGAGAUACUAAAGAUGGGUCAAACCAUCGCCUAAGGAUGGGCCUGCGUCUGAUUAGCCAGUUGGUGAGGUAACGGCUCACCAAAGCGACGAUCAGUAGCCGGUCUGAGAGGAUGAACGGCCACAAUGGGACUUAGACACGGCCCAUACUCCUACGGGAGGCAGCAGUGGGGAAUCUUCCGCAAUGGGCGAAAUCCUGACGGAGCAACGCCGCGUGAGUGAAGAAGGUCUUCGGAUCGUAAAGCUCUGUUGUCGGGGACGAAAGAGUAGACGAGGAAAUGCGUCUACUAAGGCG